AGACUGAUGGCUAGGGUUUGGGUUUACUAUGAUGUAAAAUAUUUAUACUCGUCUCGCGUUAAUUUUGACCGUUUAUCGUAUUUGAUCUCGGCCGUCUGAUCGCGUUUAAAGAGAGAACGGAUAUGAACCAUUCAUCGCAUUUAAUCACAACCGUCCAAUCGCGUUUGAGGAGGAAUGGAUCCGAACAGUCCACGCGCUUUCGGGUCGUUCGAUCGCGGGGCACGCGGAUCGCUAGCAUGGUUUCCUGUGUGGCACCGAGUCAGUGUGCCUUGCCACGUGGCGUGCUCCAAUUUAUCGAGACUACUGAUGGGGGGUCCUACGUGGCAAAAUUUUUCUUAAUUGCAUUCUGACAUCUAGUUUCUGAUUUUUCUUUCAAAAACACCAUUUG
rnacentral:lncRNA from 1 species